rnacentral:pre_miRNA from 1 species
AGUGGAAUUGCUGGAUCAUAUGGUAUUUAUAGUUUUAGUUUUUUGAAGAAUCUCCAUACUGUUUUCCAUAGUGGUGAAACUAAUUUAUAUUACCACUAACAGU